rnacentral:rRNA from 1 species
UACAGAGGGUGCGAGCGUUGUCCGGAAUCACUGGGCGUAAAGGGCGCGUAGGUGGCCUGAUAAGUAGGGGGUGAAAUCUCGAGGCUCAACUUCGAGGCUGCCUCCUAAACUGUCAGGCUUGAGCAGAGUAGAGGCAGGUGGAAUUCCCGGUGUAGCGGUGGAAUGCGCAGAGAUCGGGAGGAACACCCGUAGCGAAGGCGGCACUCUGGGCCGGUACUGACGCUGAGGCGCGAAAGCGUGGGGAGCGAACAGG